ACGUGAAUCCCGGAAUAAGCCCCGGCUAACUACGUGCCAGCAGCCGCGGUAACACGUAGGGGGCGAGCGUUGUUCGGAAUCAUUGGGCGUAAAGGGCGUGCAGGCGGUCCUGCAAGUCCGGCGUGAAAGACCCCGGCCCAACCGGGGGGGCGCGCUGGAAACUGGAGGGCUUGAGUACAGGAGGGGAUGCCGGAAUUCCAGGUGUAGGGGUGAAAUCUGUAGAUAUCUGGAAGAACACCAAUGGCGAAGGCAGGCAUCUGGCCAUGUACUGACGCUGAGACGCGAAGGUGCGGGGAGCAAACAGGUUUAGAUACCCUGGUAGUCCGCACAGUAAACGAUGUGCACCAGGUGGCGGGGGGUCGACCCCCGGUACCGUAGCUAACGCAUUAAGUGCACCGCCUGGGGAGUAUGCUCGCAAGGGUGAAACUCAAAGGAAUUGACG
rnacentral:rRNA from 1 species